UAAGACAGAGGGUGCAAACGUUGUUCGGAAUUACUGGGCGUAAAGCGCGUGUAGGCGGUCGGGCAAGUCGGAUGUGAAAGCCCAGGGCUCAACCCUGGAAGUGCACUCGAUACUGCUCGGCUAGAGUCCCGGAGAGGAUGGUGGAACUCUCGGUGUAGAGGUGAAAUUCGUAGAUAUCGAGAAGAACACCGGUGGCGAAGGCGGCCAUCUGGACGGUGACUGACGCUGAGACGCGAAAGCGUGGGGAGCAAACAGGAUUAGAUACCCUGGUAGUCCACGCCGUAAACGAUGGGUGCUAGGUGUCACGGGUAUUGACCCCUGUGGUGCCGAAGCUAACGCAUUAAGCGCCCCGCCUGGGAAGUACGGCCGCAAGGCU
rnacentral:rRNA from 1 species